AUGCCGCUCCCCGCGAGCUCCGGAUCCCCGGGAGGCUGGCGGGGAGGCGAGGCUUGGCCGGCCCGCCACGCUCAGGCGGCGGAGGGCAGCGAGGUCAGCCCUGGAAGGGCCGACCGCUCCACGCCCCCUGGGGAGGGAGGGGACCCCGUUCGGCCGGCCGGGACUGCGGAUGCUCAUUCAACCCGAAGCCCGUCCAGCGGCCGCCACCCCCUUGGCCCGCCGCGGCGUCCCGGCCUCCCGACGCGGGCCAGCCGGCCGCCCCGCCGCCGCCCCCGGGAGGCUGGGGAAGGACGAGGCGCAGGGGCGGCGGGUGCCGCGCCUCCCGGGCGCGCGGCAAAGGCUGAAGGGCGGCCCGAGGGACGCGCGCCGGCCCGAGGGACGGGCGCCCCGGGCGGCCAUCGCGCCGACCCCUGCGCAGACCCCCGCCCCCGCCCCCGCUGCCUCCCAGUCCAGCCAGCUCCUCACCUCAUCUCCAGGCGGGUCCGCGCUGCCGCCCCAGGGACAAAUCAGUGCAGCUCACUUGCGGCGGAGAGGGACGCAGGAGCCUCAGCCCAACACACCAUCCCCGCCCGCCUGCCCGCCUCUCCGUGCGUCCCGGAGCCCGCUAGGGAUUCUCCCUCGCGAGCCGCCGUACUACGGAGCAACCAAGCUGCGCUCCCUCCCCUCUCCUCCGCUCUUCUCUACCUCCUUCUCUCCCUCCCUUGCUCCCUCGCUCCCACGUAUCUCCUCAUCUCCCUCCGUUGCCUCUCCCGCCCCCUUCCACCCCUCCAUCUCCGCCCACAGAUGGGUGGGAACGAACAGUCGACCAAUCGGAAGAAGGGGUCUGCACCUCCUUACCGCCCCCUACCGCUACCCCCGCCCACCGCGAGAACGGGAACGGCGGGCGGUAAAAAAAAAAAAAAAAAAAAUGGAAGAAGACGGAAUGACAGCCAAAUAAGCCAAUCAUCAAGCGCAAAGGAGGCGGGGAAUAGGACUCCCUCUUCUCCCUGCCCUCUUCCCAGAAGGUGUAACCAGAGGCUUCUGGUCUGGGAUUUCCCUGACGGGAGUUAUGGAGGUUUUGUUCCAAGGUUUUGUUGCAUCUGUCCGUUGUCGUGCGAGGCAAUAGUUAGGAUGCAGUCAACUAAAUUAGUUACAAAGAUUUUAAAGGAGAGAACAAGGAGGCGAAAAAGAGGCGGGCCACAGUCCAAGGAAGGUGGUAGGGCAAAUGGUUGGAAUGAGGAAGGGUGUGGUCUUUAA
rnacentral:lncRNA from 1 species